GAUGAACGCUGGCGGCGUGCCUAAUACAUGCAAGUCGAGCGAACAGAUAAGGAGCUUGCUCCUUUGACGUUAGCGGCGGACGGGUGAGUAACACGUGGAUAACCUACCUAUAAGACUGGGAUAACUUCGGGAAACCGGAGCUAAUACCGGAUAACAUAUUGAACCGCAUGGUUCAAUAGUGAAAGGCGGCUUUGCUGUCACUUAUAGAUGGAUCCGCGCCGUAUUAGCUAGUUGGUAAGGUAACGGCUUACCAAGGCAACGAUACGUAGCCGACCUGAGAGGGUGAUCGGCCACACUGGAACUGAGACACGGUCCAGACUCCUACGGGAGGCAGCAGUAGGGAAUCUUCCGCAAUGGGCGAAAGCCUGACGGAGCAACGCCGCGUGAGUGAUGAAGGUCUUCGGAUCGUAAAACUCUGUUAUCAGGGAAGAACAAAUGUGUAAGUAACUGUGCACAUCUUGACGGUACCUGAUCAGAAAACCACGGCUAACUACGU
rnacentral:rRNA from 1 species